UGGGGAAUAUUGCACAAUGGGCGCAAGCCUGAUGCAGCGACGCCGCGUGAGGGAUGGAGGCCUUCGGGUUGUAAACCUCUUUUAUCGGGGAGCAAGCGAGAGUGAGUUUACCCGUUGAAUAAGCACCGGCUAACUACGUGCCAGCAGCCGCGGUAAUACGUAGGGUGCAAGCGUUAUCCGGAAUUAUUGGGCGUAAAGGGCUCGUAGGCGGUUCGUCGCGUCCGGUGUGAAAGUCCAUCGCUUAACGGUGGAUCCGCGCCGGGUACGGGCGGGCUUGAGUGCGGUAGGGGAGACUGGAAUUCCCGGUGUAACGGUGGAAUGUGUAGAUAUCGGGAAGAACACCAAUGGCGAAGGCAGGUCUCUGGGCCGUUACUGACGCUGAGGAGCGAAAGCGUGGGGAGCGAACAGGAUUAGAUACCCUGGUAGUCCACGCCGUAAACGGUGGAUGCUGGAUGUGGGGCCCGUUCCACGGGUUCCGUGUCGGAGCUAACGCGUUAAGCAUCCCGCCUGGGGAGUACGGCCGCAAGGCUAAAACUCAAAGAAAUUGACGGGGGCCCGCACAAGCGGCGGAGCAUGCGGAUUAAUUCGAUGCAACGCGAAGAACCUUACCUGGGCUUGACAUGUUCCCGACGGUCGUAGAGAUACGGCUUCCCUUCGGGGCGGGUUCACAGGUGGUGCAUGGUCGUCGUCAGCUCGUGUCGUGAGAUGUUGGGUUAAGUCCCGCAACGAGCGCAACCCUCGCCCCGUGUUGCCAGCGGAUUAUGCCGGGAACUCACGGGGGACCGCCGGGGUUAACUCGGAGGAAGGUGGGGAUGACGUCAGAUCAUCAUGCCCCUUACGUCCAGGGCUUCACGCAUGCUACAAUGGCCGGUACAACGGGAUGCGACGCGGCGACGCGGAGCGGAUCCCUGAAAACCGGUCUCAGUUCGGAUCGCAGUCUGCAACUCGCCUACAUGAAGUCGGAAUCGCUAGUAAUCGCGGAUCAGCACGCCGCGGUGAAUACGUUCCC
rnacentral:rRNA from 1 species